rnacentral:rRNA from 1 species
AUUUAAAUGAUCCAUGAAACAAUAAGUUUAAUUUUUCAAAAAUUAAUUUAAUCGUACCGAUAACCGCAUCAGGUCUCCAAGGUGAGUAGCUUCUGGCCAUUGAGUAAUGGUAAUUUAGGGAAUUCGGCCAAUUAGAGCUGUAACUUCGGGAUAAAGCUUGGCUCUGAUGGAAAUCAGAACCGAUAGUUACAAGGAGAGCCCAACUGUUUAAUAAAAACUUAGUGUCGCGUCAUACCUUUAUAAGUAAUAAACGUGACAUGAAUCCUGCUCAGUGCUGUGUUUGUUAAACUGGAUUAAUCCAUUUAAGCGCCGGUAAAUAGCUGGGGUAACUAUGACUCUUAUCAAAGUAGCGAAAUACCUCGUCACUUAAUUAGUGACCUGCAUGAACGGAGCUAUGAGGUUCUCACUGUCCCAAAUUAUCACUCAGCGAACCAACAGUUGUGGGAACGGGCACAAAUUAUCCAGCGGGGAAAGAAGACCCUGUAGAGCUUCACUUUGGUCUAAUCUUGUAUAGUUUCGUUAGGGGUGCAGUCUAGGUGGGAGAUUUUUAAUCAAAUAUGAGAAACCACUACCCUUUCUGGAAUUAUACUUACUAAAAUUCUUUUAUAAAUUUUAGGAUCGGAUUAGAUAGAAAGUUUGGCUGGGGCGGCACACCUUCGAAAAAGCAGCGAAGGUGUCCUAAGUUAAGCUCAGUAAGGACAGAAAUCUUACGUUGAGGAUAAGGCCAAAAGCUUAAUUUACUGUGCCUUUUUGUACUAGGAUCAGUUUGGAAACAAAGGCCUAACGAUCCCUAAUUAGUCUUAGGUGUGUAAGACUUGGGGUGACAGACAAGUUACCUCCGGGACAACUGGCUUGUGGCUGCUAAGAGAUCAAAUCAACGCAGCUUUUUGAUUCUUCGAUGUCGGCUCUUCCUAUCCUAGUGAUGUACAAGUCACUAAGGGUUGGAUUGUUCACCCGUAUUAGGGAUCGUGAGCUGGGUUUAGACCGUCGUGAGCCAGGUUUGUUUUAUCCUACUGGAUAUAAUUUAGCAUCUUGAUAGUAGUUUGAUUUAGUACGAGAGGAACUGUUGAAUAUGGUCUCUGGUUUGGGAAUUUUAUGAAAAUAAAAGUUCCAAAGCUACGCCGUCUGAGAUAAUGGCUGAAGGCCUCUUAAGCCAGAAACUCAUCUAAAAAUAGAUGCUUUAAACUAUUUA